GAUGAAGAACGCAGCGAAAUGCGAUAAGUAAUGUGAAUUGCAGAAUUCAGUGAAUCAUCGAAUCUUUGAACGCACAUUGCGUCCGCCAGUAUUCUGGCGGGCAUGCCUGUUCGAGCGUCAUUUCAACCCUCAGGCCCCCAGUGCCUGGUGUUGGGGAUCGGCCCAGCCUUCCUGUAAGGCCGCCGGCCCCGAAAUCUAGUGGCGGUCUCGCUGUAGUCCUCCUCUGCGUAGUAGCACAACCUCGCAGUUGGAACGCGGCGGUGGCCAUGCCGUUAAACACCCCACUUCUGAAAGUUGACCUCGGAUCAGGUAGGAAUACCCGCUGAACUUAAGCAUAUCAAUAAGCGGAGGA
rnacentral:misc_RNA from 1 species